GGGCUUAAGCGUACGUAGGCGGAGAUGCAGGCGUCAUGUGAAAUCCCUCGGCUCAACCGAGGAACUGCAUGGCGAACCGCACCUCUUGAGACAAGUAGGGGCUGUCGGAACGAUAGGUGGAGUGGUGAAAUGCGUUGAUAUCUAUCGGAACGCCGAAGGUGAAGACAGGCAGCUGGGCUUGUUCUGACGCUGAGGUACGAAAGCGUGGGGAGCGAACGGGAUUAGAUACCCCGGUAGUCCACGCCGUAAACGAUGUGCACUAGAUCGAGGAGGUUCUGACACCAUUCUCGGUCGAAGUAAAAACGUUGAGUGCACCGCCUGGGGAGUACGGUCGCAAGGCUAAAACUCAAGGGAAUUGACGGGGGCUCACACAAGCGGUGGAGCAUGUGGCUUAAUUCGAAGCAACGCGAAGAACCUUAUCCUGGGUUUGACAUGCAUGGAUUAGCGCCUGGAAACAGGCGUGACGCUCUUGUAGUGGAACAUGCACAGGUGCUGCAUGGCUGUCGUCAGCUCGUGCUGUGAAGUGUCGGGUUAAGUCCCUUAACGAGCGAAACCCCUGUCACUAGUUGCCAACAGGUAAUGCUGGGGACUCUAGUGAGACUGCCGGUGUCAAACCGGAGGAAGGUG
rnacentral:rRNA from 1 species